rnacentral:rRNA from 1 species
CUACGGGGCGCUCCAGUGGGGAAUAUUGCACAAUGGAGGAAACUCUGAUGCAGCCAUGCCGCGUGUGUGAAGAAGGCCCGAGGGUUGUAAAGCACUUUCAAUUGGGAGGAAGGUUAUGUAGCUAAUACCUGCAUAAUUUGACGUUACCUUUAGAAGAAGCACCGGCUAACUCUGUGCCAGCAGCCGCGGUAAUACAGAGGGUGCAAGCGUUAUUCGGAAUUACUGGGCGUAAAGCGCGCGUAGGCGGAUUGUUAAGUCAGAUGUGAAAGCCCUGGGAUCAACCUGGGAACGGCAUUUGAUACUGGCAGUCUAGAGUUUAAGAGAGGGAAGGGGAAUUUCUAGUGUAGCAGUGAAAUGCGUAGAUAUUAGAAGGAACAUCAGUGGCGAAGGCGCCUUCCUGGCUUAAAACUGACGCUGAGGUGCGAAAGCGUGGGUAGCGAACGGGAUUAGAUACCCUGGUAGUC